rnacentral:tRNA from 1 species
GCCUGGGUGGCUCAGUUGGUUGAGCAACUGACUUCGGCUCAGGUCAUGAUCUCACAGUUUGUGAGUUCGAGCCCCGCGUCGGGCU